UAUAGCUACCAAGCAUCUCACCUCCCUCAAAGGGAACGGGCUUGUGUACUGCCUUCCUCCAAGUCCCACAAGAAUGAACAGCACCCAAGAAGUCACUUGUGGGGUGACCAAAGAAGUGAAUGGAGGUCACCAACACCUCCGCUACGCUGCCAUGAGCCAGGCUACAAUAAUGAAGGAAGUUGUUCCUGAGAAUCUGGAACAUCUGCUGGGGGUGAGGAACUGGACCGAUUACUCAGUGUUAGACCGCCUGAUGCUCUUCCAGAGGAGUACAUCUGAAUUCCCAGCAUCCACAGCGGUCGCUCACAAUGGCUUAUAACUCCAUCUUCAGGGGAUUCAUCAUCCUCUUCUGGCCCCCACAGGCACCUGCAUACAUCUGGUACACACACACACACACA